CAAUGAUGAGCACCUUCAUUUACCUCCAGAAGGAAACAGCUGUUGUGGUGCCAUGUAACAGGUGGUGUAAUCUUGCAGAGCCACCAUCAUUUAUUUCUUGGAAGGAGCUAUUGCAGUGCUCACUGCAGAGUUGCCAUGGAGAUCUGCUUCUGUGUUUCACAAGAAUCGGACAUUCUAAUCAGAGUAAACGGGCUAUGCAACAAGGAAAGGUGUAGGGCAUGAAUUUUGUCUAUCAGGGCACAUUUAUGAAUUAAGUCAGCCCAUUAUAAAAUUGCAACUUCCAUGUGCUGUUACAUUUUAAGUGGAGAUUUAUCUCCAUAAACAUUUCUUAAUAUUAUCAAUGUUGAAAACACUUUUUCACUUUUUUCCAGGAUUAUUUUAUGAAUAGUUAGUAUUUGUUUGAAAUAAAAAUUAUACAUAUGUAUAAUAAGUUACAGUAAACCACUUGAGCAGUAACCACAGAAUAUAUAAUCUAUCAAUAGCUCUAUCCACAUGUAGUUGUCUAACUCACUGAAACAUUUUGAUGUUCUGUGAAGACCAGAUUUUAUGCUGUACUCCAUACUUAACAAUGUGUGAUGACAGAGAACUGACAACCUAAACAGCCAUUAUUCAUCAGAGGAACCACUAGUAUCCAAGCAUAAAAGAGGCAGAAAGCUUGGAUGGAGAUGCAGAAUGACAGUAGGGCUUAUCAAACACUUUCUGCCUCUCUCUUUCUCUCUCUCUCUCUCUCUCUCUCUCUCUCUGUUUAUUUAUUUAUUUAUUUAUUUUCCCUACAACUGUGGACAUUUUAUUCUAUUCAAAGUACUGUCACUUAUAUGUAAAGAAAAUGUAAAACUGAAAUUUUUUUCUUUCAUUUUCUGGUUGGUGACACAUGGGUUAUAUCUCUUCUCAUCUCGUUCUAGUUCAAAGAUACAAUACUAAGUAUUUAUUUCUGUAACAAAAGAACUUUGGCCUGAGGUUUUUCAUAAUGGGAAAGUCUUUCACACAUGAAGUAAACAUCAGCUCUCUUGUACUUCAUCUUUUAUAU